rnacentral:tRNA from 1 species
GGGGCUGUAGCUCAGUUUGGGAGAGCGCGACAUUCGCAUUGUCGAGGCCGUCGGUUCGAGCCCGAUCAGCUCCA